rnacentral:lncRNA from 1 species
GUGUGCAUUAGGUCUAUGCAGUUUAACUCACAGUUGCCUCCUCCCUCCCUCUCAUAGAGAGCAAGGAGACUGCAACAAGAACAGAUUUCUUGGUAUCAGGAAGUGAAAGCAAGGACGGUAGGAGAACCUGGGUGCAGAUUACCAUCAAACAGCAGACGCGGGCCUGCAAAUGCGACAUGGGGACCUUCCAUUGUAUGUGCAAACCGGCAGCCAAGGAAAAAAUUCAGGUCUGUCCCAAUUAGAAGGGAAACUAAAUAAAACUGUCACUGUGAUUCACCGUCUUCGCGAUGAUUUCUGUAGCAAAUGGAUCUUGCUCCUAUGCAGCCUCCUCAGAGGACCCCAAAGAGAGACCACAGUGACAUCAUGCAGAGCCCCAGGCAUCAAGGACUUGCAGCAGCUGACAGCUAUUGUGAUAAGAUGAAAACAGAAAGUUGGCACCCAUUAGAGAACAUGGGAUUAAAACCAGGAUACUGCAGAGAUCUGUUGCUGAAGGCCAUCUAAA